UAGGAUGUGGUGUAAUGGGAACACGGAGAGUUUUGAGUUCUUAGAUAUGGGUUCGAGUCCUAUUGUUCUAG
rnacentral:tRNA from 1 species